AAAGGAGAUCUUCAUUGAUCAUUACGAGUCUUACGAAUUUGAUUGGUAGGUCCAAUAAACACUCAAUUUCAGAUAGCUACAAAAAGAGCAUAUGCCAGAAAGUACCCCAGCUACAAGUCCGUCACUCCAGAUACUCAGAUUUGUUACAAUUCCUAUCUGAUAGUCCAAACACUCUAUUUGUAAUUCCUGAACGACUCGUGAAGGGUAUAAGCUUGCAAGGAACAAGCAGUGAUAUAAAAGAAUUAGUUACACCCACUUUCAAUUCCCAUCAUCUACUGUAAAGACCAGUAUUGUUUUUCAUUCCUUCGACACAAAAUACCUACUAAAGGAUGUGUGUCUGCAAACAAAGUACUUUCUGAAUGUCAUAUAGGUAGCUGGUCCACUAUAAUCACAUGGAAUAUCAUCCAACUAAGUCAAACUGUGGCUAUAAGAAUUGCUA